rnacentral:rRNA from 1 species
AUGUCCACAGCAGAGCAAGAGGGAGCAAAAUUUACUGCUGUCGAUCUGCAGCCGUCCAUUGACUUCUUUAGAAGGAAUAAUCUGCAGACGGAAUUCUUUUCUAUUGGGCCAAACCAAUAUGUGGUUACCUCAAUCCACGAGCACUGGUUUUCUGCUCGUUGCGUUAACACAACACAGCCAGGAGGUGAAGGAGUUAUAAUUAUGCAGAUUGGAGCAUACUUGUUAGUCUCUAUUUUGUAAGUUUCUGUUGGUUCGGCUUCACGGGCAAUGGUGGCUGUUGAUCAGUUUGUAUGGCACUUUAACCGGAGAACACAUUAA